rnacentral:rRNA from 14 species
GAGUUUGAUCUUGGCUCAGAUUGAACGCUGGCGGCAGGCCUAACACAUGCAAGUCGAGCGGAUGACGGGAGCUUGCUCCUUGAUUCAGCGGCGGACGGGUGAGUAAUGCCUAGGAAUCUGCCUGGUAGUGGGGGACAACGUUUCGAAAGGAACGCUAAUACCGCAUACGUCCUACGGGAGAAAGCAGGGGACCUUCGGGCCUUGCGCUAUCAGAUGAGCCUAGGUCGGAUUAGCUAGUUGGUGGGGUAAUGGCUCACCAAGGCGACGAUCCGUAACUGGUCUGAGAGGAUGAUCAGUCACACUGGAACUGAGACACGGUCCAGACUCCUACGGGAGGCAGCAGUGGGGAAUAUUGGACAAUGGGCGAAAGCCUGAUCCAGCCAUGCCGCGUGUGUGAAGAAGGUCUUCGGAUUGUAAAGCACUUUAAGUUGGGAGGAAGGGCAGUAAGUUAAUACCUUGCUGUUUUGACGUUACCGACAGAAUAAGCACCGGCUAACUCUGUGCCAGCCGCCG